UCUUAGACCUCAUUGAAGGGCUGACUGCCACUGGGGAAGGAUCUCUGGUUGGAGAUCUCUUCCUUGUGCUCUUUCCCUGUGAGCAUAGAUCGUCAGAGAUGGAGAUGUUGAAAGCUUCUGGAUGACGGAGCAGGAGAGGCCCUUAUGCUGAAGGACUCGGCGACCACAAGGGGAGCAAAGGACUGUUCUAGCAAAAACAACAACAAAAAAAGCCCCAGUUCAGGAGGCAGAAUCCACUGAAGAUACUGAAAAGCUCCAUAGCUGAAACUGUGAAUGAAAGAGAAGACUGUUUACCAGGCAAUAUGGAAACUCCCAGCACAUGUUCCCAGAAUCACCCGUCUGCAAUUCAGCACCCCGUGGAUACGGGCGCAGGCCUGAGAUGAGGCAGUGCAGGCUCUUAUCUGACCCCAUAAUGUAUGCAUCAGGGGACAUUUAGAGGACCAAACGGUAAGUUUUGAGGGAGACAGGAUGGGCUUCUAGUCUGGCAGAUCGUUGCAUGUCUUCUCUUAGCUAUGCUUUAGCUUUUGUCUCUCAACCUGACAGAUUAUGGUGGAAGGAAAACUGUUUGGAAGAAACGAGACAAGUCACAGUUGAGCCCCUACGGCUGGAGACACAUUCACUGCCCACUGUUUGCAGCCCUGGCAUGAGAUUACCAUCUGUACCAUAUAGCACCAUAACCACCAAGAAGGCAUUGUGUCACUGACACCCGUAGAUGACAGAGUUGGUGCUUGAAAGCAGGAUGCUGCUGGGAUGGGGAUGGGGAAGACCCCUUCUCAGCAGUGCCCAAACCAACACUGUUCCCAUCUCCUUUUCAACAACCCCCUCUAGAAAGUUGCUGGCAAUAAGGUCUGGUUUGCCCUGGUGAGACCUGUAGGUGUUACCAGGCAGCAGGGAUAGCUCUCCCCUCAUGGCAGACAGGGUUGUAGGAAGUAUCUCUUGAAAAUGGAGACUGUAAACUCAUUUCUCUUUGCCUCCACAUACUUCCCACACUGAGAUUUGCGGCAUUCUGUGAUGGUUUCCCUCCAAACCUGCUCUUCUUCCUCCCUCUGCUUGCAGUGGAGCAGUGGCAGAGCCCCCACAGGAGCCCCCUCUUCCUGCAGGAAAGGUACUGUCAUCCAUGCUGAUGGGCAGCUCCGCUUUUGCUCCAGGGAAGGUCCUUCUUGAAAUGAGGUCUCAGGGUUCACCAGGAACUCAGCACGGAUGCUUUCCCUCUUCCCAUCCAAAAUUGUCAGACCAAAAAGGGAUGCAGCAAUUUCAGUCAUUCUCCAAAACAAAAAUGAGCCUUCCCUCCCUCCCCACCAAUAAACCUCCAUCCUGCAGCACCAGCCCACUGGGCGUAAAGCAGCAGCUGCUGGGAGCCAGCACUGCAGCAUAUCUUGUUCUACUCUUCUGAGCAAUUGUUCCCCAUUCGCUUUGACAAAAGGACCUUUUGUCAAAGCAGUCAUUGCACUUGGUGGGGCUAACGGUAAAGCAGUCAGACAGCCUGAACCUUGGUCUCAGCCACUUCACAUCUUCUGGUGGCCCAUCUCCUUGCCUCUCAUUGACCAUUUAUUCCUAACCACGUUGCACCAAGUCCAGGUGUGAUGCUCGGCUCCUGAGCUCACCUCGCUGUCAGGACAGUACAAAGAGCUGGCAAAGGGACGUGUAGUGGUGUUGAGGAGGACACAAGGAGGAAAGGAGGAGGGAAAGGAGAAUAUAGCUGUUGUGCAGAAUAGUUAUAAGGGAAUAAGCAUUGACCAUGGAAACACAGUGACUGUAGGUAAUCUGCCUGUGUAAAGGCCAGCGAAAUUGGCUGAAAGAGAAAUGAGAGCAUAAGAGCAAUAGAGGAGGGUGGACAAAACGGUGGCUUUGCACAAUCUGGCACUGUGCCUGAGAGCCACAAGAGCAAGAGACCAUUUGGGGUAUGGGGCAGGCAGCCCCAGAGAAGAGUUUUCUUUUGGAGGCACUGGGCUAGUACCACCAUCACGUAUUCUCCCUGGAUACAGUCUCCAGUCCUUUUAGCCAAAGCAGCCUACACACAAAAAGAGCCAUUUCAGGCCUAGCAACUUUUCGACUAAUCUUUCUCACUUCAAAGAUGAACCUAAGUUGUAGAUGAGGAAAACUAGAUAUCCUCUCCCAACAGAGCGAGUAGCUGCUACGGAGGGGUGGCAUGGCACCUUGUUUGUGUGUGUGGACUGCCGUUUCACAGCCUGACCCUGACCAUACCACCUUUGGUGCCCAUGCUGGGAGCUGCUGGUGUCUGUCCAGUGGCAGUCUGUCCAGCCUCCGGUGCAUGAGACUGGCUCUCCGUGAUUUAACAGAAAGGGGAAGGUUGCACGUUUUUACUGCCACCCAUCCUCUCUCACUCUGAUCGUGAUGUGCUCUUUGCACAAGCACAGUCUAAACCCACAGCCACCACACACCUUGUAGCAGUGUCCCCUGCCCCACUUGAAACCUUAAGCCAGGUCAUGCCAGAGCCAGGGGUGGGAGGUAGAGAUUGGCAAGAGACAGAGAGGUUGAGGAGGGGAUGCAAAAUCUUCCCUUUCAGUAGCCAGCUGUAAUAAGGUCUCAGACUCAUGCAUCUCC